AACGAACGCUGGCGGCAGGCCUAACACAUGCAAGUCGAACGCAUCCUUCGGGGUGAGUGGCGCACGGGUGAGUAACACGUGGGAAUGUAUCCUUUGGUUCGGAAUAACGUCUGGAAACGGACGCUAAUACCGGAUGAGCCCUUAGGGGGAAAGAUUUAUCGCCGAAGGAGCAGCCCGCGUCUGAUUAGGUAGUUGGUGGGGUAAAGGCCUACCAAGCCGACGAUCAGUAGCUGGUCUGAGAGGAUGAUCAGCCACACUGGGACUGAGACACGGCCCAGACUCCUACUGGAGGCAGCAUUGGGGAAUAUUGGACAAUGUGCGCAAGCCGGAUCCAGCCAUGCCGCGUGAGUGAUGAAGGCCUUCGGGUUGUAAAGCUCUUUCGCACACGACGAUGAUGACGGUAGUGUGAGAAGAAGCCCCGGCUAACUUCGUGCCAGCAGCCGCGGUAAGAC
rnacentral:rRNA from 1 species